GUCCCAGUGGCAGGGAGCAUGGCUGCAGCCCAGGAGAUGGCAGAGGGGGUCGUGUACGCCGACAUCUCCUUCCCCCCACCUGCCCCGACAGCAGCCCCGCAGCAGCUUCCCUCGUCAUCCUGGCGGCAGGUGGCUCUCGGCCUGGCUCUCCUGUGCAUCCUGCUCCUGGCAGCGCUGCUCGGCCUGGGCCUGCACCUGCACCAGCACCGGCGAGUGGGGAGCUGUGCCCCGAAGCUGAGGAGCAUGGAGGAGAGCCUCGAACACAGGCUGCAGCAGCAGGAGAGAUUCCUGGCAGGUACGCGAGGGGGGCAGGGUCCUGGGAAAGACUUGGGGAGGGUCUCGCCGUCCCCCAGAGUCAGCCCGACUCCCAGCCCUGUAGGAGUGGGGAGCCCAGAGUCCUUCCCCACUGGCUGUGGGCACCCACAAUCUAGGCCUCGUGUCUAA
rnacentral:lncRNA from 1 species